rnacentral:rRNA from 1 species
CGUACCUUUUGUAUAAUGGGUCAGCGACUUAUAUUCUGUAGCAAGGUUAACCGAAUAGGGGAGCCGAAGGGAAACCGAGUCUUAACUGGGCGUUAAGUUGCAGGGUAUAGACCCGAAACCCGGUGAUCUAGCCAUGGGCAGGUUGAAGGUUGGGUAACACUAACUGGAGGACCGAACCGACUAAUGUUGAAAAAUUAGCGGAUGACUUGUGGCUGGGGGUGAAAGGCCAAUCAAACCGGGAGAUAGCUGGUUCUCCCCGAAAGCUAUUUAGGUAGCGCCUCGUGAAUUCAUCUCCGGGGGUAGAGCACUGUUUCGGCAAGGGGGUCAUCCCGACUUACCAACCCGAUGCAAACUGCGAAUACCGGAGAAUGUUAUCACGGGAGACACACGGCGGGUGCUAACGUCCGUCGUGAAGAG